rnacentral:hammerhead_ribozyme from 1 species
ACCCGUUUGACGAGUCCUAGAUAGGGCGAAACGCGCGUCCUGGAU